GAUGAACGCUGGCGACGUGCCUAAUACAUGCAAGUCGAGCGAACGGACGAGAAGCUUGCUUCUCUGAUGUUAGCGGCGGACGGGUGAGUAACACGUGGAUAACCUACCUAUAAGACUUGGAUAACUUCGGGAAACCGGAGCUAAUACCGGAUGAUAUUUUGAACCGCAUGGUUCAAAAGUGAAAGACGGUCUUGCUGUCACUUAUAGAUGGAUCCGCGCUGCAUUAGCUAGUUGGUAAGGUAACGGCUUACCAAGGCAACGAUGCAUAGCCGACCUGAGAGGGUGAUCGGCCACACUGGAACUGAGACACGGUCCAGACUCCUACGGGAGGCAGCAGUAGGGAAUCUUCCGCAAUGGGCGAAAGCCUGACGGAGCAACGCCGCGUGAGUGAUGAAGGUCUUCGGAUCGUAAAACUCUGUUAUUAGGGAAGAACAUAUGUGUAAGUAACUGUGCACAUCUUGACGGUACCUAAUCAGAAAGCCACGGCUAACUACGUG
rnacentral:rRNA from 1 species